UAAACUUUUUAUGUUCAUUUCAGUGUAAUUGGCACAAUUAAAGUACCCAUUUCUCGAGAAGUCAUUAAACAGGUGAAGGUAUCCACAUGGAACUAAUUUAUCUGGUAGAUCAAUCUUAAGAGCUCAGAAGUGUUUACAACCUACUGUGCAGUUACUAAACAGCUUAUUUGAGGCUCUGAAGUAACACAAUGCAGAAGAUGUUGUAUUCAUUAGUAAUCCUACACGUGUUACUAACAACGUUGACUUUAGUUAUUUGUGAUAACAAUAAGGAAGAAAUCUGCACAGAAACAGCACCCAUUUCUGAAAGUUCAAGCAUAAAGGAACCAACUGAACAUAAUAAAGUAUCAAAUAAAAAGUUUCUUCCCCGUUCCUCCCGCGGGAAAAAAGUUGGAUCAGAUUUACUUCAUGUAGGAGGAUAUAUUAAAGUGCAUAUAUGAAGAGUGGUAAUGGAGGAGGCGGCAGAUGUCACUAGUAUCCACCACGUGGUGUCUAUGGAGCAUCGCCACCUGAAAUAUACUACGUCAAGUCUUCUGUUUGUAAUAACUGCUAAUAAUUGGAAUUAAACUAAACUACCCA